ACCAAAAAAAAAAAAAAGAAAUAGAAAACCUUGCUACCAUUUGCACUUGUUUUGACCAGUUCUUUGCUCAGGACAGAAAGAACCUAGAAACCACCUCUAGAGGGAGAUUCCAGCAGCCCACAACCCAGUACCAAUAGCAAGAGCCUAUUUCAAAUAAAAGAAAAAAGGGUGGGGAUGUGGUAGAGCAUUUGCUUAGCAUGUACAAGGCCUUGGGUUUGACCCCCAGCACUGCAAAACAAACAAGCAAACACCUCUUUGAGUUCAAUCACCUAGCUUUGUUCUAGGUUGGGUUUACAGAAUGUUUCAAAAUAACCUAGUGUUUUGUUUUGAGACAGGUUCUCACUAUGCAGUGAGACCAUAGGUCUUCACACUGGCCUGGAACUUUGUAGCUCAGGUUGGCCUUAAUCCUGUGGCGAUCCUCCUGCCUUAGCCUCCUGAGUGCUGGGGAUUCAACUCUGGGCACCUCAUGGAUUUUGGGCAAGCAUUCUACUACUAAGCUACACCCCUACCUCCCUGAUAUUUAUUUUGAAAGAGGAAUAGGAUGCCUUUUUUUUUUUUUUCUGUAAUUUGAUUAUGGUUUUUCUUGAAAAAAUCCAAACCAGAGUAAUUAAGCUUCCCAGGGAAAGUUCUGGUUCCUUUCUUUUUGGUACUAUAUGUAGCUUUUCAGGUGACUGGCUGAUAUUCCUUCCAAAUUACCAACUCUGGAAAUUUUUCCUCAUUAUCUCAGCAGAACAGGAAAGAUAGUCGUUCACCAUUGACUUCCAACCGAUGCCUGGUUCUGAGGAUAAAACAUCACUGCAGCUGGGCAUUGCUCAUAGCCAGCUGGCAAAGCAGAGGGUUAGAGCUGAGUACCCAGCUAUAGUUAGAGAUAGAUGUGUACAAACCCUGAUGCUGAAGACGAGUUAGCUGGAGAGAUGGAAGCCUCGUGGGAGGGUACAGUGGGGUGUGCUGAUGAGAAAGCAAAAUGAAGAGCUGCCGGUGAUUUGUGAGUGCAGUGUGGUGGGGUGGAGUACAUUGGACAGGUGGAACCCAAAGGAUUGAGGACAGCCUGGGCUGAGGGAUUAGAGACAUGUGCCUCUGGAAAACUGAGUCACUCAGCAGGAAAGGCUGGAGGAGGGAAAGGGUGGAGGAGAGCUGAAGGUCCAGACAGCCCAGGCCCUCAAAGUGAGGUAAGUCUGUAGAAUCACUAACACCAGGGGAGAGUUAGUGGACUGGAAGCAAUGGAUCCCUGGAAAUCCUGGCAAGCUCAGGUGAAAGGCAUGUGUUACGGUUUAGAUCUAAAAUGUCCCCCUAAAGUCUCAUGUGUGUUUCUAGGUGACUGGAUCAUGGGGGUGCUAUACUCCUUAGUGGAUUCAUCUGUCCACAAGUCCAUAGCUGAAUGUGCUGUUAGGAGGUUGAGCACCUUCUCCUCCACCACGCCCUUUUGCCAUGCUGUUUCUUCCUUGGAGCCAGCCGACCAUGAACUGAAACCAUGAGCCAAAGUAAACAUCUUCUCUUUUAAGUUUGGGUGUCAAGUAUUUUGUCCCAGUGAUGGCAAAGUAAGACCUCAUGUGUGGGAAUGAAACAAGAGAGGAAGGAGGGCUGGGGAUGUAGCUUAGUGGUGCAGCGCUUGCCUGUCAAGUGCGAAGCUCUGAGUUCAAUUCCUAGUACAAAAAAAAAAAAAAAAAAAAAA